UACGGAGGGUGCAAGCGUUGCUCGGAAUCAUUGGGCGUAAAGCGUACGCAGGCUGUUCGUUAAGUCGGGUGUGAAAGCCCAGGGCUCAACCCUGGAAUGGCGCCCGAAACUGGCGAGCUUGAGUGCGGGAGAGGGAAGCGUAAUUCCUGGUGUAGAGGUGAAAUUCGUAGAUAUCAGGAGGAACACCGGUGGCGAAAGCGGCUUCCUGGCCCGACACUGACGCUCAUGUACGAAAGCGUGGGGAGCAAACAGG
rnacentral:rRNA from 1 species